rnacentral:rRNA from 1 species
GAUGAACGCUGGCGGCGUGCCUAAUACAUGCAAGUCGAACGCUUUGUGGUUCAACUGAUUUGAAGAGCUUGCUCAGAUAUGACGAUGGACAUUGCAAAGAGUGGCGAACGGGUGAGUAACACGUGGGAAACCUACCUCUUAGCAGGGGAUAACAUUUGGAAACAGAUGCUAAUACCGUAUAACAAUGACAACCGCAUGGUUGUUAUUUGAAAGAUGGUUCUGCUAUCACUAAGAGAUGGUCCCGCGGUGCAUUAGCUAGUUGGUAAGGUAAUGGCUUACCAAGGCGAUGAUGCAUAGCCGAGUUGAGAGACUGAUCGGCCACAAUGGGACUGAGACACGGCCCAUACUCCUACGGGAGGCAGCAGUAGGGAAUCUUCCACAAUGGGCGAAAGCCUGAUGGAGCAACGCCGCGUGUGUGAUGAAGGGUUUCGGCUCGUAAAACGCUGUUGUAAGAGAAGAAUGACAUUGAGAGUAACUGUUCAAUGUGUGACGGUAUCUUACCAGAAAGGAACGGCUAAAUACGUGCCAGCCGCCGCAGUAA